rnacentral:rRNA from 1 species
CCUACGGGAGGCAGCCGUGAGGAAUAUUGGUCAAUGGACGGGAGUCUGAACCAGCCAAGUCGCGUGAAGGAUGACUGCCUUCUGGGUUGUAAACUUCUUUUAUAUGGGAAUAACAUGUUCCACGUGUGGGAUUUUGUAUGUACCAUAUGCAUAAGGAUCGGCUAACUCCGUGCCAGCAGCCGCGGUCAUACGGAGGAUUAGAUCGUUAUCCGGAUUUAAUGGGUUUAAAGGGAAAGGAGGUGGGUUGUGUAGGCAUUUGGGAAAGGUUGGGGCUCAAACGUAAAAGUGCAGUUGAAACUGGCAGACUUGAGUGCAGUAGAGGAGAGUGGAAUUCGAUGUGUAGCGGUGAAAUGCGUAGAUAUAACGAAGAACUCCGAUUGCGAAGGCAGCUCACUGGACUGCAACUGACACUGAGGCUCGAAAGUGUGGGUAGCAAACAGGAUUAGAUACCCUAGUAGUC